UGGGGAAUUUUGGACAAUGGGCGAAAGCCUGAUCCAGCAAUGCCGCGUGCAGGAUGAAGGCCCUCGGGUUGUAAACUGCUUUUGUACGGAACGAAAAGCCUGGGGCUAAUAUCCCCGGGUCAUGACGGUACCGUAAGAAUAAGCACCGGCUAACUACGUGCCAGCAGCCGCGGUAAUACGUAGGGUGCAAGCGUUAAUCGGAAUUACUGGGCGUAAAGCGUGCGCAGGCGGUUUUGUAAGACAGUGGUGAAAUCCCCGGGCUCAACCUGGGAACUGCCAUUGUGACUGCAAAGCUAGAGUGCGGCAGAGGGGGAUGGAAUUCCGCGUGUAGCAGUGAAAUGCGUAGAUAU
rnacentral:rRNA from 1 species